rnacentral:lncRNA from 1 species
AAAAUACUCCAAAAAUUCAAAAUCAGUGUUAAAAAUCCUUUUUGGCCAAUUUUGGGGUUAUGGUAUAAUGGCACCGUCUUAUUCCGACGACGACACCGCCGUACUCUAACGAUGGCACCGCCGCCCGCGGUGGCGGUUUGCCUUGGCCUGUCCAUUUUCAGUCGGUUUCGAUCGCCUUUAUAUAUAUUACUGUGAAAAAACACGUUAGAGUAUCUAUAUUGGCUUUAAAAAAUUAGAAAAUAGAAACCUACCAGUGGUGGGAUUUCUGGUGUGACAGCUCCGCUGGUUCACCUUCGCGGGUGGGAGUUUUUUUUUUUAGUCAACUUGUAGAAAACAGAACGAUGUACACAACGAUAGAAAAAUCACACGGAACGAGAAAUGGG